rnacentral:rRNA from 1 species
CCUACGGGUGGCUGCAGUCGAGAAUCAUUCACAAUGGGGGAAACCCUGAUGGUGCGACGCCGCGUGGGGGAAUGAAGGUCUUCGGAUUGUAAACCCCUGUCAUGUGGGAGCAAAUUAAAAAGAUAGUACCACAAGAGGAAGAGACGGCUAACUCUGUGCCAGCAGCCGCGGUAAUACAGAGGUCUCAAGCGUUGUUCGGAAUUACUGGGCGUAAAGCGCGCGUAGGCGGUAUGUCAAGUCAAGGGUGAAAUCCGCGGGCUCAACGCGGGAACGACAUAUGAUACUGGGAAACUGGAGUGUGGGAGAGGAUAGCGGAAUUCCCGGUGUAGGAGUGAAAUCCGUAGAUAUCGGGAGGAACACUAGUGGCGAAGGCGACUUCCUGGCACAUAACUGACGCUGAGGAGCGAAGGCGUGGGGAGCGAAAAGGAUUAGAUACCCCAGUAGUC